GUAGCAUUUGAAGCCCAUCGGCCAGGUUUUGCCUCAGCAGUGUGGCGGUGCUGAAUGAAAGGACAGGCAAAUUCAGCAAGGAUCUGGGCGAACCAGUCAAGAGGGAAAGAAGAAACAUCACCUAAUGCAGAAAGAUGCAAAGAAGAGAAAUGAAAUCGUCGAGUUGCAGAGUUCGGUGAGGAAUGUUGCUUCUCACAGCGGGAAACAGGAAGGAAUGUCACUCAAUCUGCCAAUCAGCGGCUAUCACCUCCAUCUAACCUCUCCCGCUCCUCCUCCACCACCUCCUCCUCCUCCUCCUUCUUCAAUACCUCCAUCCAUUUACAUGCCGUUUCUCCUCCAGCUCACUCAUUCAUCCCAAUCUGCACCUUGCAGCAGUCAAGCAGCGAAGAUAAGCUGACUGCCAUCACAGUGAGUAUGAAUAAGAGCAUGUGUGGUAAUAAUUCUGAUGAAUUCGAUCUUGUCUGUGAGCGCAUGAGCAAAAAGUCCUCGACAGCACCCUUCAGCCGCCCAGCCCGCCUGCCCAGUGUUCAGACUACCUGUUCAGGAAGUAGUGGUUGUACAGUAGUCUGCACAUUGGUUAGGCUGGCCGGGGAAGCACAGGACAACUGCCUAAAAAAGAGGGAUGAGAAAAAAAAAAAGACAGAGCACUCCAAAGGGCAUUCAGCAGGCACAAGUACACCCGGCUGUGGGAACACGCAGCUGCACCACCCCUCGUCCAUCUGGACCAGCCUGGGCACGAGCCUAAAUAAAGGCUCCACCACAGAGGCCUAGCCCUCGCCCAGGAUGGAUUUAUGAUUGACACAGAAGUCCUAAAAUUUUGAAAGCAGAGCCAUGAGGCUAUCCUCCUAUCUUGCCAUAUGAUGGUUGUGUAACCAAGAUUCGAAUCUGUAAAAUCAGCUUGUGAAAAUGUUUUAAAAAUAGACAAAAAUAAAGAAGCUUGGAUUUCCACGUGA